AUUGAACGCUGGCGGCAGGCCUAACACAUGCAAGUCGAGCGGAGCGGCGGCCGCGUAAGUAAUACCUAGGAAUCUGCCUGGUAGUGGGGGAGAACGUCCGGAACCGGGCGCUAAUGCCGCAUCCUCUCGCAUGAGCCUAGGUCGGAUUAGCUAUAUGGUGGGGUAAAGGCCUACCAAGGCGACGAUCCGUAGCUGGUCUGAGAGGAUGAUCAGUCACACUGGAACUGAGACACGGCCCAGACUCCUACGGGAGGCAGCAGUGGGGAAUAUUGGACAAUGGGCGAAAGCCUGAUCCAGCCAUGCCGCGUGUGUGAAGAAGGUCUUCGGAUUGUAAAGCUCUUUAAGUUGGGAGGCGUUACCAACAGAAUAAGCACCGGCUAACUUCGUGCCAGCAGCCGCGGUAAUAC
rnacentral:rRNA from 1 species